rnacentral:tRNA from 1 species
GGGCUCGAAGUUUAGCUGGUUGAACACCUCAUUUGCAAUGAGGAGGUAGAGGGUUCGAUCCCCUCCGAGUCCACCG